UUAACGAUUGUUUAACUAAAAACUCAGACUGCAAACUUCAGACAGCGUUCAAAUGUUAGUCUCCGGCGGGCCGUGGCCACGCCGAAGCAACAGGGUACAGAUAGACACGGAUGGGAGGUUGGACCCAGAGGGCCCGCACUCGGUAAUGAUCCUUCCGCAGGUUCACCUACGGAAA
rnacentral:misc_RNA from 1 species